GAGGGUAUAGCUCAAGUGGUAGGCUGCAUGCUUAGCAAGCAUGAGGUUCUGGGUUCAGUUCCCAGUAUCUCCU
rnacentral:tRNA from 1 species